AACGAACGCUGGCGGCAUGCCUAACACAUGCAAGUCGAACGAUACCUACGGGUCUAGUGGCGCACGGGUGCGGAACCCGAGGGGACCUGCACUUGGGGUCGGCAUAACUUCCAGAGGGGGGUGCUAAUACCGGAUAAUGUCUUCGACCAAAAGUGUAUUCGCCUUUGGUUGGGUCUGCGUUGAAUCAGCUAGUUGGUAACUUAACAGCCUACCAAGGCGACAUUCCAUAGCUGGUCUGAGAGGAUGCUCAGCCACACUGGGACUGUGACACGGCCCAGACUCCGACGGGAGGCAGCAGUGGGGAAUAUUGGACAAGGGGCGAAGGCGUGAUCCAGCAAUGCCGCGUGAGUGAUGAAGGCCUUAGGGUUGUAAAGCUCUUUUACCCGGGAUGCUAUGACAGUACCGGGAGAAUAAGCUCCGGCUAACUCCGUG
rnacentral:rRNA from 1 species